CAGUCGACGGUAGCACAGAGAGCUUGCUCUCGGGUGACGAGUGGCGGACGGGUGAGUAAUGUCUGGGAAACUGCCUGAUGGAGGGGGAUAACUACUGGAAACGGUAGCUAAUACCGCAUAACGUCGCAAGACCAAAGAGGGGGACCUUCGGGCCUCUUGCCAUCAGAUGUGCCCAGAUGGGAUUAGCUAGUAGGUGGGGUAACGGCUCACCUAGGCGACGAUCCCUAGCUGGUCUGAGAGGAUGACCAGCCACACUGGAACUGAGACACGGUCCAGACUCCUACGGGAGGCAGCAGUGGGGAAUAUUGCACAAUGGGCGCAAGCCUGAUGCAGCCAUGCCGCGUGUAUGAAGAAGGCCUUCGGGUUGUAAAGUACUUUCAGCGGGGAGGAAGGCGAUAAGGUUAAUAACCUUGUCGAUUGACGUUACCCGCAGAAGAAGCACCGGCUAACUCCGUGCCAGCAGCCGCGGUAAUACGGAGGGUGCAAGCGUUAAUCGGAAUUACUGGGCGUAAAGCGCACGCAGGCGGUCUGUCAAGUCGGAUGUGAAAUCCCCGGGCUCAACCUGGGAACUGCAUUCGAAACUGGCAGGCUGGAGUCUUGUAGAGGGGGGUAGAAUUCCAGGUGUAGCGGUGAAAUGCGUAAAGAUCUGGAGGAAUACCGUGGCGAAGGCGGCCCCCUGGACAA
rnacentral:rRNA from 1 species